GACGAACGCUGGCGGCGUGCUUAACACAUGCAAGUCGAGCGGUAAGGCCCUUUCGGGGGUACACGAGCGGCGAACGGGUGAGUAACACGUGGGUGACCUGCCCUCAGCUCUGGGAUAAGCCUGGGAAACCGGGUCUAGUACUGGAUAUGACUCCAUGACGCAUGUUGUGGGGUGGAAAGCCUUGUGCGGCUGAGGAUGGGCCCGCGGCCUAUCAGCUUGUUGGUGGGGUGAUGGCCUACCAAGGCGACGACGGGUAGCCGGCCUGAGAGGGCGACCGGCCACACUGGGACUGAGACACGGCCCAGACUCCUACGGGAGGCAGCAGCGGGGAAUCUUGCGCAAUGGGCGAAAGCCUGACGCAGCGACGCCGCGUGAGGGAUGACGGCCUCGGUGUAAC
rnacentral:rRNA from 1 species